rnacentral:rRNA from 1 species
UACAGAGGUCUCAACCGUUGUUCGGAUUUAUUGGGCGUAAAGGGUGCGUAGGCGGUCGUGCAAGUCGGAUGUGAAAUCUCAGGGCUCAACCCUGAAACUGCAUUCGAUACUGCGCGGCUAGAGUGCUGGAGGGGAGACUGGAAUUUACGGUGUAGCAGUGAAAUGCGUAGAUAUCGUAAGGAAGACCAGUGGCGAAGGCGAGUCUCUGGACAGCAACUGACGCUGAGGCACGAAGGCCAGGGGAGCAAACGGG